rnacentral:rRNA from 1 species
GACAGGCGGUGCGAUGGUUGUCGUCAGCUCGUGUCGUGAGAUGUUGGGUUAAGUCCCGCAACGAGCGCAACCCCUAUUGUAGUUGCCAUCAUUCAGUUGGGCACUCUAGCGAGACUGCCGGUAAUAAACCGGAGGAAGGUGGGGAUGACGUCAAAUCAUCAUGCCCCUUAUGACCUGGGCUACACACGUGCUACAAUGGUUGGUACAACGAGUUGCGAGUCGGUGACGGCGAGCUAAUCUCUUAAAGCCAAUCUCAGUUCGGAUUGUAGGCUGCAACUCGCCUACAUGAAGUCGGAAUCGCUAGUAAUCGCGGAUCAGCACGCCCGCGGUUCCGAAUACGUUCCGGGCCUU